rnacentral:rRNA from 1 species
GUGUCAGCAGCCGCGGUAAUACGGAGGGUGCAAGCGUUACUCGGAAUUACUGGGCGUAAAGCGCACGCAGGCGGUCAAUUAAGUCAGAUGUGAAAGCCCCGAGCUUAACUUGGGAAUUGCAUCUGAAACUGGUUGGCUAGAGUCUUGUAGAGGGGGGUAGAAUUCCAUGUGUAGCGGUGAAAUGCGUAGAGAUGUGGAGGAAUACCGGUGGCGAAGGCGGCCCCCUGGACAAAGACUGACGCUCAGGUGCGAAAGCGUGGGGAGCAAACAGGAUGAGAUACCCGGGUAGUCCAAGCGGUAAACGAUGUCGAUUUAGAGGUUGUGGUCUUGAACCGUGGCUGAUGGAGCUAACGCGUUAAAUCGACCGCCUGGGGAGUACGGCCGCAAGGUUAAAACUCAAAUGAAUUGACGGGG